UCAACAGCUCUAGCGGUUGAAGUUCUCUCUGUUCCAAGCACAGACAUAAAUACAGGCAGCAGCAAUGCAAGCUUCCCCACAGUGCUCUGUCAGUACGCCUCAGCCUCGUUACGGGACAAGGAGGCAGGUUGCCUGCCAUGCCCCGUUCGGUCAUCGACCUUU
ensembl:misc_RNA